UGGGAAUUUUGGACAAUGGGGCAACCCUGACCCAGCAAUGCCGCGUGAGUGAAGAAGGCCUUCGGGUUGUAAAGCUCUUUUGUCUGGGAAGAAAUCCUUUGGGCUAAUACCUCGGAGGGAUGACGGUACCGGAAGAAUAAGCACCGGCUAACUACGUGCCAGCAGCCGCGGUAAUACGUAGGGUGCGAGCGUUAAUCGGAAUUACUGGGCGUAAAGCGUGCGCAGGCGGUUGUGCAAGACAGAGGUGAAAUCCCCGAGCUUAACUUGGGAACUGCCCUUGUGACUGCACGGCUAGAGUGUGUCAGAGGGGGGUAGAAUUCCACGUGUAGCAGUGAAAUGCGUAGAGAUGUGGAGGAAUACCGAUGGCGAAGGCAGCCCCCUGGGAUAACACUGACGCUCAUGCACGAAAGCGUGGGGAGCAAACAGGAUUAGAUACCCUGGUAGUCCACGCCCUAAACGAUGUCAACUAGUUGUCGGGUCUUAAUUGACUUGGUAACGCAGCUAACGCGUGAAGUUGACCGCCUGGGGAGUACGUCGCAAGAUUAAAACUUAAAGNGAAUUGACGGGGUCAUAGCUG
rnacentral:rRNA from 1 species